rnacentral:rRNA from 1 species
GAUGAACGCUGGCGGCGUGCCUAAUACAUGCAAGUCGAGCGAACGGACGAGAAGCUUGCUUCUCUGAUGUUAGCGGCGGACGGGUGAGUAACACGUGGAUAACCUACCUAUAAGACUGGGAUAACUUCGGGAAACCGGAGCUAAUACCGGAUAAUAUUUUGAACCGCAUGGUUCAAAAGUGAAAGACGGUCUUGCUGUCACUUAUAGAUGGAUCCGCGCUGCAUUAGCUAGUUGGUAAGGUAACGGCUUACCAAGGCAACGAUGCAUAGCCGACCUGAGAGGGUGAUCGGCCACACUGGAACUGAGACACGGUCCAGACUCCUACGGGAGGCAGCAGUAGGGAAUCUUCCGCAAUGGGCGAAAGCCUGACGGAGCAACGCCGCGUGAGUGAUGAAGGUCUUCGGAUCGUAAAACUCUGUUAUUAGGGAAGAACAUAUGUGUAGGUAACUGUGCACAUCUUGACGGUACCUAAUCAGAAAGCCACGGCUAACUACGUGCCAGCAGCCGCGGUAAUACGUAGGUGGCAAGCGUUAUCCGGAAUUAUUGGGCGUAAAGCGCGCGUAGGCGGUUUUUUAAGUCUGAUGUGAAAGCCCACGGCUCAACCGUGGAGGGUCAUUGGAAACUGGAAAACUUGAGUGCAGAAGAGGAAAGUGGAAUUCCAUGCGUAGCGGUGAAAUGCGCAGAGAUAUGGAGGAACACCAGUGGCGAAGGCGACUUUCUGGUCUGUAACUGACGCUGAUGUGCGAAAGCGUGGGGAUCAAACAGGAUUAGAUACCCUGGUAGUCCACGCCGUAAACGAUGAGUGCUAAGUGUUAGGGGGUUUCCGCCCCUUAGUGCUGCAGCUAACGCAUUAAGCACUCCGCCUGGGGAGUACGACCGCAAGGUUGAAACUCAAAGGAAUUGACGGGGACCCGCACAAGCGGUGGAGCAUGUGGUUUAAUUCGAAGCAACGCGAAGAACCUUACCAAAUCUUGACAUCCUUUGACAACUCUAGAGAUAGAGCUUUCCCCUUCGGGGGACAAAGUGACAGGUGGUGCAUGGUUGUCGUCAGCUCGUGUCGUGAGAUGUUGGGUUAAGUCCCGCAACGAGCGCAACCCUUAAGCUUAGUUGCCAUCAUUAAGUUGGGCACUCUAAGUUGACUGCCGGUGACAAACCGGAGGAAGGUGGGGAUGACGUCAAAUCAUCAUGCCCCUUAUGAUUUGGGCUACACACGUGCUACAAUGGACAAUACAAAGGGCAGCGAAACCGCGAGGUCAAGCAAAUCCCAUAAAGUUGUUCUCAGUUCGGAUUGUAGUCUGCAGCUCGACUACAUGAAGCUGGAAUCGCUAGUAAUCGUAGAUCAGCAUGCUACGGUGAAUACGUUCCCGGGUCU